GAACCUCGCGGUUUCUCCUCUUCCGACCACUUCCGGGAUUGUCUUCAUCAGCACCCCCACCCCGCUUCCGCUUGUCGCCGGAGGAGGAUGUUCCGGUGGCGACCUCCUUGCCUUUGGAUGCCAUUUCGAAGCCACAACGUGAGGGUUGUACCGUACGAUUCACAUACAAGUAUAAAAAGAGAGAGAGUAGUAGAGCUGCCCUUGGAGCUGGACCGACUAAAUUUCUCCUCAGGCUGAACAGUUUCUAGUGACUGGUGGCAUGGCGUGACGAGCUUCUGAAUCAUCAGAAUUUAC
rnacentral:misc_RNA from 1 species